rnacentral:rRNA from 1 species
CCUACGGGAGGCAGCAGUGGGGAAUAUUGCACAAUGGGCGAAAGCCUGAUGCAGCAACGCCGCGUGAAGGAAGAAGGCCUUCGGGUCGUAAACUUCUGUCCUUGGGGAAGAAGAACUGACGGUACCCAAGGAGGAAGCCCCGGCUAACUACGUGCCAGCAGCCUCGGUAAUACGUAGGGGGCAAGCGUUAUCCGGAAUUAUUGGGCGUAAAGAGUACGUAGGUGGCAACCUAAGUCCAGGGUUUAAGGCAGUGGCUCAACCAUUGUUCGCCCUGGAUACUGGGAUGCUUGAGUGGAGGAGAGGAAAGCGGAAUUCCUGGUGUAGCGGUGAAAUGCGUAGAUAUAAGGAAGAACACCAGUGGCGAAGGCAGCUUUCUGGAUUGUUACUGACACUGAGGUACGAAAGCGUGGGGAGCAAACAGGAUUAGAUACCCGAGUAGUC